GAUGAAGAACGUAGCGAAAUGCGAUACUUGGUGUGAAUUGCAGAAUCCCGUGAACCAUCGAGUCUUUGAACGCAAGUUGCGCCCGAAGCCAUUAGGCCGAGGGCACGCCUGCCUGGGCGUCACACGUCGUUGCCCCCCCAUCUACUCCUUCGGGAUUGCGGGGGGCGGAUGGUGGCCUCCCGUGCGCCUCGCCGCGCGGUUGGCAUAAAUGCCAAGUCCUCGGCGACGCACGCCACGACAAUCGGUGGUUGCGAAACCUCGGUUGCCCGUCGUGUGCGGUCGUCGCGCAUCGAGGGCUCGAAAAAAUUGCCGGGUUCCGGCUCGGCUUUCAACGCGACCCCAGGUCAGGCGGGGUUACCCGCUGAAUUUAAGCAUAUCAAUAAGCGGAGGA
rnacentral:misc_RNA from 1 species